rnacentral:tRNA from 3 species
GCCGUGGUGGCGGAAUUGGCAUACGCGUACGGUUCAGAACCGUAUCUCGCAAGAGUUGAGAGUUCAAAUCUCUCCCACGGCACCA